rnacentral:tRNA from 1 species
GCCCCAGUAGCUUAAUUACAAAGCAUUGAUCUUGUAAAUCAAAGAGUGGAAACCUAACAUCCCUGGGACA